UACGUAGGGUGCAAGCGUUGUCCGGAAUUAUUGGGCGUAAAGAGCUCGUGAGGUGGCCUGUCGCGUCGGCUGUGAAAACUCGGGGCUCAACUCCGAGCUUGCAGUCGAUACGGGCAGGCUAGAGUUCGGCAGGGGGAGACUGGAAUUCCUGGUGUAGCGGUGAAAUGCGCAGAUAUCAGGAGGAACACCGAUGGCGAAGGCAGGUCUCUGGGCAUUAACUGACGCUGAGGAGCGAAAGCAUGGGGAGCGAACAGG
rnacentral:rRNA from 1 species